UACGUAGGGGGCGAGCGUUGUCCGGAAUUAUUGGGCGUAAAGAGCGUGUAGGCGGUUCGGUAAGUCUGCCGUGAAAACCCAGGGCUCAACCCUGGGCGUGCGGUGGAUACUGCCGGGCUAGAGGGUGGUAGAGGCGAGUGGAAUUCCCGGUGUAGCGGUGAAAUGCGCAGAUAUCAGGAGGAACACCAAUUGCGAAGGCAGCUCGCUGGGACGUAACUGACGCUGAGACGCGAAAGCGUGGGGAGCAAACAGG
rnacentral:rRNA from 1 species